rnacentral:piRNA from 1 species
UACUAGGCAAGUGACCAGUGCUGAGUCCU